rnacentral:rRNA from 1 species
GAUGAACGCUGGCGGCGUGCCUAAUACAUGCAAGUCGAGCGAACAGACGAGGAGCUUGCUCCUCUGACGUUAGCGGCGGACGGGUGAGUAACACGUGGAUAACCUACCUAUAAGACUGGGAUAACUUCGGGAAACCGGAGCUAAUACCGGAUAAUAUAUUGAACCGCAUGGUUCAAUAGUGAAAGACGGUUUUGCUGUCACUUAUAGAUGGAUCCGCGCCGCAUUAGCUAGUUGGUAAGGUAACGGCUUACCAAGGCAACGAUGCGUAGCCGACCUGAGAGGGUGAUCGGCCACACUGGAACUGAGACACGGUCCAGACUCCUACGGGGGGCAGCAGUAGGGAAUCUUCCGCGAUGGGCGAAAGCCUGACGGAGCAACGCCGCGUGAGUGAUGAAGGUCUUCGGAUCGUAAAACUCUGUUAUUAGGGAAGAACAAAUGUGUAAGUAACUAUGCACGUCUUGACGGUACCUAAUCAGAAAGCCACGGCUAACUACGUG